AUUGGAAUAAGAACAAUUUAAAUCCCUUAUCGAGGAUCAAUUGGAGGGCAAGUCUGGUGCCAGCAGCCGCGGUAAUUCCAGCUCCAAUAGCGUAUAUUAAAGUUGUUGCAGUUAAAAAGCUCGUAAUUGGAUUUCUAGCGGACACGUCUGGUCUGCUCCGCCAGGAGUCGGUACUGAGUCGUCGUCUGUUAUCCUUGAGGAGAAUAUUCCUGGCAUUAAAUUGUCGGGAGUAGUAUCCUCAUCGUUUACUGUGAAAAAAUUAGAGUGUUCAAAGCAAGCUUAGGCUCUGAAUAUAUUAGCAUGGAAUAAUAAGAUAAGACCCUGGUGGUUUAUUUUGUUGGUUUGCACGCCCAGGUAAUGAUUAAUAAGGAUAGUUGGGGGUAUUCGUAUUCAAUUGUCAGAGGUGAAAUUCUUGGAUUUAUGGAAGACCAACUACUGCCAAAGCAUUUACCAAGGAUGUUUUCAUUAAUCAAGAACCAAAGUUAGGGGAUCGAAGAUGAUUAGAUACCAUCGUAAUCUUAACCAUAAACUAUGCCGACUCGGGAUUGGCCGUCGUUUCUAUCCGACUCCCUCAGCACCGUAUGAGAAAUCAAAAUCUUUGGGUUCCGGGGGGA
rnacentral:rRNA from 1 species